GGCACACACUGGUCUGGAUCCACGAAGGCGUUAUGCAGAGGAGAUUCAGCUAGGCGGCUGCAGGCAGUGGGCUGCUCAUGGCCGGCAGGAACUUGCUUUUCUGGCUUGAAAUCACAAUCUUCUGCAAUCAGCAAGAGAAACAUUUUGGAUUUGAAGGCGUCAGUUCAGCAGCUAUUUUGGAAGUCUCCUGGCCAAGCCUUGGCCUCAUUACACCCUCAGUCACCUGCGGCUCAUGCUGCUCCCCUGAACCCCCAUCUCCCACCUUUCAGUUCCUAUUCUACGGUUCCAGUGACCUAUUUCCCUGCGGCCCUGCUCGUGUGUUCUAAGCCAACAUUAGCUCCUUUAAUAACAGAAUCUCCUUGGCCCAGUAAUGGACUGAGAAUGAAAGAAAGUCACAAGUCACCCCUGCGUAUUAUGGGGGUACAACCCCUCUGGCAGGCUGCGGGCUCCUGAACUCCCAGAGAACUUCUCUACCCUCACAAGCCCAAAGCUGCUGCAGCCAGUGAACUGGGAAUUGUCAGUCCUCUCUGGGUCACUCCCCAUCUCCAGACCUGAGCCCAGGCAGUGGGCACCAUAUUGCUUUUCCACCCAUUGUGUGCCUUUGUCCUCCCCUGGGAGCAUCAGCCCUUCAGUUUUCACGUCACUGGUCCCCACACAAGCGUGUCUCAAAUCCUGUCCAGACUGUUGUGGUCACAGGGGCCAGUGGGGCCAGGGGGAAUCUGUGUGAUCCCAGAGCUGGGACAUUCCGGGCCCACUGCCUUCCGGGGAAGGGGACAAGGAGGACCACAGUGCCAGCUCUCCUCCAUUCAGACUCUUUUCCUCCCCCUCCCCUCCCCCAC